rnacentral:rRNA from 1 species
GUGAAGCGGGAAGAGCUCAAAUUUGAAAUCUGGCGGUCUCAGGCCGUCCGAGUUGUAGUCUGGAGAAGCGUUUUCCGCGUCGGACCGUGUAUAAGUCUCUUGGAACAGGGCGUCAUAGAGGGUGAGAAUCCCGUCUUUGACACGGACUACCGAUGCUUUGUGAUGCGCUCUCGAAGAGUCGAGUUGUUUGGGAAUGCAGCUCAAAACGGGUGGUAAAUUCCAUCUAAAGCUAAAUAUUGGCGAAAGACCGAUAGCGAACAAGUACCGUGAGGGAAAGAUGAAAAGCACUUUGGAAAGAGAGUUAAAAAGUACGUGAAAUUGUUGAAAGGGAAACGAUUGAAGUCAGUCGCGUCUCUCAGGACUCAGCCUGGCUUCUGCCUGGUGCAUUUCCUGAGGCGACGGGCCAGCAUCAAUUUCGACCGAUAGAGAAAGGCGAGGGGAAUGUGGCACCUUCGGGUGNGNUAUAGCCCUUCGUCGUAUGUAUCGGUCGGGAUUGAGGAUCGCAGCACGCCUUAAUGGCCGGGGUUCGCCCACGUAACGUGCUUARGAUGCUGGCGUAAUGGCUUUAAACGACCCGUCUUGAAACACGGACCAAGGAGUCUAACAUGCCUGCGAGUGUUUGGGUGGAAAACC